rnacentral:tRNA from 1 species
GGAGAGGUGCUGGAGUGGUCUAACAGGCACGCCUGGAGAGCGUGUGUCGGGGUUUCCUCGACCGUGGGUUCGAAUCCCACCCUCUCCG